rnacentral:misc_RNA from 1 species
UGAUUGCGAGUACCUAAAGAAGUGCUGUGAAAAUCUAACACAAGAAAACAGGAGGUUGCAGAAGGAAGUUCAGGAACUUAGAGCAUUGAAGUUGUCUCCCCAGCUCUACAUGCACAUGAACCCUCCCACCACCCUCACCAUGUGCCCUUCAUGUGAGCGUGUUGCAGUCUCAUCAUCAUCCUCAUCUUCAGCUGCCGCCGCAUCAAGUGCCCCGAACCGCCAUCCGGCAAAUCCCCAUCCUCAACGACCUGUGCCCAUUAAGCCAUGGGCAGCACUGCCUAUCCACCAUCGAUCUUUUGAUAAGCCUGCUUCGAGGUCAUAAAUGUUAGGUUGAGACGGGAAUAUAAAAGGUGGUUGGGAUGCGAUUUUGUUCCAAGAGUCUGGGCUUGUAUAGAGUGGAGUUAGUUACAGAAAGUAGUGUUUAUAAAUGAAAAUGGCGACUAGGAUUAACUUGAAGGGAUAUGAUAUGAGAAAAGAAUCUGAAUAUCUUUCUUUUGGCUAAUGUUAUUGUUGGAAUCUGAUGUUGGACAAAGUGGAAUUUAGCAUUUAGCGAAGUUAGCAUUUGCGAUUAUUAUAUAAUUCUAAUUCUAAUGAAGGAAUUGUUGUCUAUUGCUGGCUAUGAGAUUCCAACCGUUCCCUGUGAUUCUGUGAAUCUCUCCACUAAUUAAUUUAAUUAGAUUUC